rnacentral:rRNA from 1 species
AGAGUUUGAUCAUGGCUCAGGACGAACGCUGGCGGCGUGCUUAACACAUGCAAGUGGUGCGACGAACCAGGGCUUGCCCUGGGGCCAAGCCGCGAACGGGUGAGUAACACGUGAGUAACCUGCCCCGAUGACCGGGACAACCCGAGGAAACUCGGGCUAAUACCGGAUGUGGCGCACAAUCGUAAGUUUGUGCGCUAAAGGAAGCUUCGGCCUCCGCAUUGGGAGGGGCUCGCGGCCCAUUAGCUUGUUGGUGGGGUAACGGCCUACCAAGGCAACGAUGGGUAGCUGGUCUGAGAGGACGAUCAGCCACACUGGGACUGAGACACGGCCCAGACUCCUACGGGAGGCAGCAGUGGGGAAUCUUGCGCAAUGCGCGAAAGCGUGACGCAGCAACGCCGCGUGGGGGAAGACGGCCUUCGGGUUGUAAACCCCUUUCAGGAGGGACGAAGGUUCGCCGGUGAAUAGCCGUGUGGAUUGACGGUACCUCCAGAAGAAGCUCCGGCUAACUACGUGCCAGCAGCCGCGGUAAUACGUAGGGAGCAAGCGUUGUCCGGAAUCAUUGGGCGUAAAGCGCGCGUAGGCGGCCUCAUAAGUCCGUUGUGAAAGUCAAAGGCUCAACCUUUGAAAGCCGAUGGAUACUGUGAGGCUAGAGUUCGGAAGAGGCGAGUGGAAUUCCUGGUGUAGCGGUGGAAUGCGCAGAUAUCAGGAGGAACACCAAUAGCGAAGGCAGCUCGCUGGGACGAUACUGACGCUAAGGCGCGAAAGCGUGGGGAGCGAACAGGAUUAGAUACCCUAGUAGUCC